AGGAUCAUUAGUAUUGACUAAACAUGUUUCUCUGCAUGAAUUUUCAAGCCAUCUGUGCACCUUACCUGUUGCUUCCGUGCUGCGUGUGCCGAACAGGCACGCCCCAACGUCAUCUCUCCCAGUGUGGAGGGUGCUUUGGAGAUUGCGCGGAAGGUUUUAGCGCAAACUCUUGUAUCUCUGUGCCUUCUGUCUGAACUGUCAAAUACAAUAAGUUAAAACUUUCAACAACGGAUCUCUUGGUUCUCGCAUCGAUGAAGAACGCAGCGAAAUGCGAUAAGUAGUGUGAAUUGCAGAAUUCCGUGAAUCAUCGAAUCUUUGAACGCACAUUGCACCUCCUGGUAUUCCGGGAGGUAUGCCUGUUCGAGCGUCAUUAAAAUCAAAUCAAGCAAUUUUGCAUGGUCAUGGAGGAAGAGUCUACCUUGCGUGGUCUCCCCUCCGAAAUGAAAAGGUGGAGAGUCUCUGAUACUCGGUGUAGUAGUAACAUUCGCUUUGUAUCUGGAGUCUUUCCUGCCAUCAAAACCCCCACAAUUCUCUUGAUUGACCUCGGAUCA
rnacentral:rRNA from 1 species